rnacentral:rRNA from 1 species
GAUGAACGCUAGCGGCAGGCUUAAUACAUGCAAGUCGUGGGGCAGCAGGUUUGUAGCAAUACAGAUGCUGGCGACCGGCAAACGGGGUGCGGAACACGUACAGAACCUUCCUUUGAGCGGGGGAAUAGCCCAGAGAAAUUUGGAUUAAAUACCCCAUAGUAUAAUGAAGUGGCAUCACUUUAUUAUUAAAGAUUUAUCACUCGAAGAUGGCUGUGCGGCUGAUUAGGUAGUUGGCGGGGUAAAGGCCCACCAAGCCUGCGAUCAGUAACUGGUGUGAGAGCACGACCAGUCACACGGGCACUGAGACACGGGCCCGACCCCUACGGGAGCAGCAGUAAGGAAUAUUGGUCAAUGGAGGCAACUCUGAACCAGCCAUGCCGCGUGGAGGAUGAAGGUCCUCUGGAUUGUAAACUUCUUUAUAUGGACG